CUCACAUGAAGAUCAUUGUAAUAAAAAAACAUCGUGAUAUUCUGAAUUCUAUUUAAUUUAAAAUAAAAAUGAACAUGAAUGUUUGUAGACGAUUGUUUUCAACGCUGAAUAAAUUGUCUGCGCUCCCGAAAAUCCAAGCAAUAAAUCAUAGACCGGUGCUAAGCAUAAGCCUGAAUCAAAAAGCUGUCUUUUGCAGUCGUUCCAACGAUGGAGAAAAUGAUGAAUCAUCUCCACUUAUAAACACGUUAAGUAUGGUGAACACGAAUUUUUGCAGCGAUUCGAUGGAUAUGUGUGUGUAUUUAUAAGUGGAUAUCAUCAUCCGCGUAAACUUGAUGCCAAAUCGGGAUAUUCCGUCUAUUUUGGUCCGGAUCAUAAAUUGAAUUUGCAAGGAAGUGUUGAGCGACGGCAAGCAUUGCACCAUGCAAAACUAUAUGCCGCAAUGGAACAAAUUCCAAAAGAUUCGUUUAAAAAAUUGUGCAUUCAGACCGAUGAACUUGGACUGAUUACGUUUAUCGAUCAAAGCUUACGAAGCAUGAGUGAAAAUUCAUUUCGCAGUGUCCACAGCGGAUAAUUAAAUAAGGACUUACAAACAUCCAUGGAAUUAAAUAAAAUUCUUAGAUCGAGACAAGAUCUGACAUUGCAAUUAAUGGUUUGCCCGAAUGAUAUUGGUGUUAGUGGCAUGUACUAUGCAGUGAAAAUGGCAGAACAAGCUGCUGUCAUAGCUACAGCAGACACUGGAAAACAGAUAAUCGAAUGAAAAUAUAAUUUAGAGUAAAUAAAAUCAGAAUAAAAUUAAAUGAAUAAGGUUUUCAUUUGGAAAUGUACAUUUAAAUGUAUCAAUGUAUUUGGAUUAUUGGAUUAUUGGAUUAAACGGGGAGUUAUUCACUUCGAUGCUCAAGUUUCUUAACUUAUUGCAUGACGACCCGACUUGUGCUGUCACUCGAUUGCUUGGAGAAUGCUUCCCACGGUGUGGCCCACUUUAUAGCAGCCAUGUUACUAGCCUCCGUACAGGGCCAGUGACCAGGGCUUUCUUCUCAAGUCAAUUGUCGUGACAGUCACAAGUAUUCCAUUCAUUCCUAGA